rnacentral:rRNA from 1 species
GAUGAACGCUAGCGGCAGGCCUAACACAUGCAAGUCGAGGGGCAGCAUUGGUACUUGUACCAGAUGGCGACCGGCGCACGGGUGCGUAACGCGUAUGCAACCUACCUAUUACAUAGGGAUAGCCUCUAGAAAUGGAGAUUAAUACCUAAUGGCAUCUAAAUAUUGCAUGAUAUUAAGAUUAAAGAUUUAUCGGUAAUAGAUGGGCAUGCGUGACAUUAGCUAGUUGGUAAGGUAACGGCUUACCAAGGCGACGAUGUCUAGGGGAUCUGAGAGGACUACCCCCCACACUGGUACUGAGACACGGACCAG